GGAGUGGUGGCCGAGUUCGGUCGAAGGCGCUCCCCUGCUAAGGGAGUAGGGCUCUAAAAAGGUCCUCGUGGGUUCAAAUCCCACCCGCUCCG
rnacentral:tRNA from 1 species